rnacentral:rRNA from 1 species
AUUGAACGCUGGCGGCAUGCUUUACACAUGCAAGUCGAACGGUAACAGGUUAAGCUGACGAGUGGCGAACGGGUGAGUAAUGCAUCGGAACGUGCCCGGUCGUGGGGGAUAACGCAGCGAAAGCUGCGCUAAUACCGCAUACGAUCUGAGGAUGAGAGCGGGGGACCGUAAGGCCUCGCGCGAUCGGAGCGGCCGAUGUCAGAUUAGGUAGUUGGUGGGGUAAAGGCCCACCAAGCCGACGAUCUGUAGCUGGUCUGAGAGGACGACCAGCCACACUGGGACUGAGACACGGCCCAGACUCCUACGGGAGGCAGCAGUGGGGAAUUUUGGACAAUGGGCGAAAGCCUGAUCCAGCAAUGCCGCGUGCAGGAAGAAGGCCUUCGGGUUGUAAACUGCUUUUGUACGGAGCGAAAAGGUCCUUUCUAAUACAAGGGGCUCAUGACGGUACCGUAAGAAUAAGCACCGGCUAACUACGUGCCAGCCGCCGCCGUAA